rnacentral:rRNA from 1 species
CUACAAGGGUUUCUAAUCCUGUUUGCUACCCACGCUUUCGUGCCUCAGCGUCAGAAGUGGUCCAGUAAGCUGUCUACACCACAGGUGUUCCUCCUGAUAUCUACGCAUUUCACCGCUACACCAGGAAUUCCGCUUACCUCUCCCACCCUCAAGCACUCCAGUUUCCGCUGCACCCUCCCAGUUAAGCCGGGAGAUUUCACAACAGACUUAGAGCACCGCCUACGCACUCUUUACGCCCAGUAAUUCCGAACAACGCUUGCUGCCUACGUAUUACCGCGGCUGCUGGCAC